rnacentral:rRNA from 1 species
GAUGAACGCUGGCGGCGUGCCUAAUACAUGCAAGUCGAACGAGGUGCUUUUGUAGCAAUACGAGAGUAUCCUAGUGGCGAACGGGUGAGUAACGCGUGGGUGACCUGCCCCAAAGUGUGGGAUAACAGAUCGAAAGAUCUGCUAAUACCUCAUGUGGUUAUCGGGUUUAGAAAGCGAUAACUAAAGGAGUAAUCCGCUUUGGGAGGGACCUGCGUCCCAUCAGCUAGUUGGUGAGGUAAUGGCUCACCAAGGCGACGACGGGUAGGGGACCUGAGAGGGUGGCCCCCCACAAUGGAACUGAAACACGGUCCAUACACCUACGGGUGGCAGCAGUAGGGAAUAUUGCACAAUGGGCGAAAGCCUGAUGCAGCAACGCCGCGUGCGCGAUGAAGGUCUUCGGAUUGUAAAGCGCUUUUUCUGGGAGAUGAGAAAGGACAGUAUCCCAGGAAUAAGUCUCGGCUAACUACGUG